rnacentral:rRNA from 1 species
GACGAACGCUGGCGGCGUGCUUAACACAUGCAAGUCGAACGGAAAGGCCCUGCUUUUGUGGGGUGCUCGAGUGGCGAACGGGUGAGUAACACGUGAGUAACCUGCCCUUGACUUUGGGAUAACUUCAGGAAACUGGGGCUAAUACCGGAUAGGAGCUCCUGCUGCAUGGUGGGGGUUGGAAAGUUUCGGCGGUUGGGGAUGGACUCGCGGCUUAUCAGCUUGUUGGUGAGGUAGUGGCUUACCAAGGCUUUGACGGGUAGCCGGCCUGAGAGGGUGGCUGGCCACAUUGGGACUGAGAUACGGCCCAGACUCCUACGGGAGGCAGCAGUGGGGAAUAUUGCACAAUGGGCGGAAGCCUGAUGCAGCAACGCCGCGUGCGGGAUGACGGCCUUCGGGUUGUAAACCGCUUUCGCCUGUGACGAAGCGUGAGUGACGGUAAUGGGUAAAGAAGCACCGGCUAACUACGUG